GUGGGGAAUAUUGGACAAUGGGCGAAAGCCUGAUCCAGCCAUGCCGCGUGUGUGAAGAAGGUCUUCGGAUUGUAAAGCACUUUAAGUUGGGAGGAAGGGCAGUAAGUUAAUACCUUGCUGUUUUGACGUUACCGACAGAAUAAGCACCGGCUAACUUGGUGCCAGCAGCCGCGGUAAUACGAAGGGUGCAAGCGUUAAUCGGAAUUACUGGGCGUAAAGCGCGCGUAGGUGGUUUUGUAAGUUGGAGGUGAAAUCCCCGGGCUCAACCUGGGAACUGCCUCCAAAACUGCAUGACUAGAGUACGGUAGAGGGUAGUGGAAUUUCCUGUGUAGCGGUGAAAUGCGUAGAUAUAGGAAGGAACACCAGUGGCGAAGGCGACUACCUGGACUGAUACUGACACUGAGGUGCGAAAGCGUGGGGAGCAAACAGGAUUAGAUACCCCUGUAGUCC
rnacentral:rRNA from 1 species